CAGCCCUGCCGCUAGCCCAAUUACCAUUCUUAAAAUUUAAAGCUUAUUAACAAUAAAUAACCUAAAUUUUCCUAAAACAAAACAUUUUUCCCCCUAAGUAACAGGUGAUAGAAAAGGAACA
rnacentral:rRNA from 1 species